UACGUAGGGUGCAAGCGUUAAUCGGAAUUACUGGGCGUAAAGCGUGCGCAGGCGGGUAUGUAAGACAGUUGUGAAAUCCCCGGGCUCAACCUGGGAACUGCAUCUGUGACUGCAUAGCUAGAGUACGGUAGAGGGGGAUGGAAUUCCGCGUGUAGCAGUGAAAUGCGUAGAUAUGCGGAGGAACACCGAUGGCGAAGGCAAUCCCCUGGACCUGUACUGACGCUCAUGCACGAAAGCGUGGGGAGCAAACAGG
rnacentral:rRNA from 1 species